UACGUAGGGGGCAAGCGUUGUCCGGAAUCAUUGGGCGUAAAGAGCGUGUAGGCGGUUCGGUAAGUCGGCUGUGAAAGUCCAGGGCUCAACCCUGGGAUGCCGGUCGAUACUGCCGGACUAGAGUUCGGAAGAGGCGAGUGGAAUUCCCGGUGUAGCGGUGAAAUGCGCAGAUAUCGGGAAGAACACCAGUGGCGAAGGCGCUCUACUGGGCCACAACUGACGCUGAGGGACGAAAGCUAGGGGAGCGAAAGGG
rnacentral:rRNA from 1 species